rnacentral:rRNA from 1 species
UACGUAGGGUGCAAGCGUUGUCCGGAAUUAUUGGGCGUAAAGAGCUCGUAGGCGGUCUGUCGCGUCGGAUGUGAAAACCCAGGGCUCAACCCUGGGCCUGCAUUCGAUACGGGCAGACUAGAGUUCGGUAGGGGAGACUGGAAUUCCUGGUGUAGCGGUGAAAUGCGCAGAUAUCAGGAGGAACACCGGUGGCGAAGGCGGGUCUCUGGGCCGAUACUGACGCUGAGGAGCGAAAGCCAGGGGAGCAAACGGG